rnacentral:rRNA from 1 species
UACGGGGGGGGGCAAGCGUUUGUUCGGAAUUAUGGUGGCGUAAAGGGCUCGUAGGCGGCCAACUAAGUCGGACGUGAAAUCCCUCGGCUUAACCGGGGAACUGCGUCCGAUACUGGAUGGCUUGAGUUCGGGAGAGGGAUGCGGAAUUCCAGGUGUAGCGGUGAAAUGCGUAGAUAUCUGGAGGAACACCGGUGGCGAAGGCGGCAUCCUGGACCGACACUGACGCUGAUGAGCGAAAAGCCAGGGGAGCAAACGGG